rnacentral:lncRNA from 1 species
UUUGAUUUAUGAAGAAUAAAUAUGAUCCAUGUGUUAUAUUUGGCAAUGUGUCAGAACAUUUAUAUCAAACAUUAAAGAUAAUGGUAAUUAACAAUCCAAUAUAGCAGCAAUAUUUAAAUGUUGCCAACAUACACAUAAUUAAUUAAUGUGAUGUUUUCAUAAACAUAUAAUGAAAUAUUACAAAACAAAGGUACAAAUUAUACAUCUAAAGGAAGCAUUCAUAAUUAAAAAGCACUGAUAAUUAGCUAGCACGGGAUUACCUGCCUCACCCACAGGGCCACUACAACUUUCAUCCCAAACGUCCCCCUGUCACCAAAAGUAUCAUCAUCGUUGCGUAAUGCGGCGUUUAUAUCUAAAAAAGUUUUAGAGUUAGAAAUUCCUGAAAUCAUAGCCAUAUCAUAUGAUUAUUAAGCACACAGUUACCUCCUUCACACAAAGGGCUGAUACAACUCUGAUCACAUAAAUCUUCCAUCUCACCACAUGGAGCCUCAUCAUUGAUUAAACCAACAUCUCCAUCUUUAAAAGAUCAUAAAAAUAAAGCACCUUCUGAAACAUUCAUGUUUUCCAAAAUAAUAAAAGUGUGUAAGCGCACCUGAUUCAUUUGUCCCCACAUGAGGUCUGUAUUUAUUUUCUCCCAAAUCUCC